ACCACUUGAUACAUUGAGGUCGCCGGGUAUGGCGUGCUCGUUCGGAGAGGAGCAGUGGUUGAUAGCUUCCGGCAGCCAGCGAAAAUAUGGAACUACAUCGAACCUAAAGCCUGAGCGGCUUAUUAGGUACGACGUGCAGGACAACGACACACUGCAAGGCAUUGCCUUGAAACACAACGUUACGAUGGAACAGCUGAAGCGGACCAACAAGUUGUGGACAAAUGACAGCUUACAUGUGCGUCGCCAGCUGCUAGUGCCAGUGCCGCUGGAGCCGAGCUCCGUCUGGUCAGACAGUGACGACAGUGUGAGCAGCCCUGCCUCGUCCGACUGUCGCAGUCUGGUUUCUGGGGCAGCGCCAACAGAUAGUGACGCCGCUCCGCCUUCGCGCACCGCCGCCGACUUCCUAAAGCAGGUGGACAGCGUCAUCGCCAGCAGUCGGAGAAACGUCUCACGACUGCAGCUGGAGUAACACUGGAAUGGAUGGCGGGCACCACUACGGAUUCAACGCUACUUCAUGAGCUGUGGGCUGCGAGGUCACCCGUGAUGGGCAGAACGCCAGUGCUUCAGGACGGGAGAAGACAUGGCAGAAGCCCCAGCGCAUACCGUAUGUCUGCUCUGAAGCCCAGGCUAGAAAUCCAGGAGUCGGUAUGCAUUUGUGCAUAUCAUAUACAUGUUUGUAAGGGUGCGGCAUGGUAGACCGGUGGAUUACAUUUUGCCGUAACACUGCAUGCAUUGUCGUGAUUUAGAGGAAGAUUAUAUUUCAUUGAGUGGUAUGCUUGCUAUCAUUCAAUGAAUAAUGGAUUGAACGGGUGAUGCCGCCGCUCAUGCACCCGUGACGCUUACUGUGGGUAUAAUAUGCCGUUCAUGCAGUGUCGACCUUUGCAUUUAGCUGGGAAAGUAUCAUUUUACGCAAUAAUGUGUUAGAAACCUUUUCAUCUGCGGUGUUUUCAUAAUUAGUGAUUUAAGACAUCCAGCCGCAAGCGGGGCGUGGCACAUCCUGAAUCUGGUUUGUUUGGAUGCAAUGCUCAUGCCAUCUAGUGUGUCGUUGCUAUGGUUACGACUGGAAGUGCUAUCCGUAUCAGCGAGCGAGCGUGUCGGUGGCGGAGACUGAGUGGAAUCGUUGUAAAACUGAAAGAAGUUUAAAGAAACCCGUUUCAUUGUAGGGUAUGUGCAACGCGUAUUGCUGCCGUGCGCGAAAUGUAUACCACUGCCGCAAACGAAUGCACGCCGCUUGUAUUGGGGCAUGCCGAGCACACGCGUGCCCGGUUUGUCCCACACGCGUGCCCGGCUUUCAAACCGAGAUGGCAUAUGGUUUAAGUUCGUCAUCAUUGACAUUCGGGUAAGUGACGGACAUCCGUGUCCACGACGUUCAUGUGCCUGCGGCUUUCAGGCAAGUGGAUGUCGAGGAAGGCUGUUGUUAGGCUGUGUGUACAUGCCGGGCAUCCUAAUGCGAUGAUGCGCUGAGCUUAACGGAUAUGACAGCAUGCUGCCAUGCCAACUAUAGCAUGUGGUUCGGGUCGCCUCAAGGGGCCUGAACGCUCCUGGGCGGUUGUCAAGCUAAGAAGCGAAUAUCCAAGGCAAUAAACGAUAUUUUACCCAUAA
rnacentral:lncRNA from 1 species